CUGCACCUCGGCACCUGGGCAUCUCUGGGGCUCCUUCCUUCAUGGAUGCCACCUGAACUACCCAUGGCAGAUGCUUCAUUGUCCUCACCUGCCCUGCUCUGAGCAAGGGAUGGGGUCUGGGCGCCUCCUACAGCCUCCACCCUUUAGAAAAUAAGUUCUAAAACAGGCAGCAGAGGGAUCUAAUCCUACAUGACACUCACAAGCGUCAGUGUAGAGAUGGACCAUCUGCCCAAAAGUGACCUGCAUAGAAUUCACAUCAGCACUCCCACUUCUGAUGAGUGGCUACUCAAAUAAGAUGUGCAGGUCCAUCUGUUUGAUCAUUUGAGAGCUAUAAUAAUAGCAUAACAACAGACAGACACACAAGUAUAUAGCACUCACUGUGGCAAGCACAGUUCUAAGCACAUUACAUAUAUUAACUCUUCAGUUCUGUUCUCAGGCCCCAGAAUGGACAGAGUCUGAGUUCCUUCCAGGUCCUGGGGCAGGGAAGCAUGCCAGGUGAGAGGAGACAGGAGAGAAGGGAGCUUUCACUUUUCUGGAACAUCUGUGAACUUGGAACUCCUCUCCAUCUCCUCUGAGAUGCUCCUGCUUCACAGCCUGCCUUCUACUUAGGAACUCAGGCAUCCCCCAAAUAUUUUUUCCCUGCAAGUGACUGGUCUCCCUCCCCAACACCAUCACCAGACCACCAGGUGGCCCUGAUGCCACACUUGUCUUCUCAGAGCCUCCUCACUUUUCUAGACCAUCAUCAGCAUCCCUAGUUUAGCAACCACCCUCAUGUCCUCUGGCCCUGGUAGGACAUUAAAAAUCCUCAGUCUAAAAGACAAAGAAAGGUCCAAAAUGGACCCAUGAGCUAGUGAGUAAAUGAUAUUUUGGGUCCUUUUAAUACUGUUAAAAGAAAAAAAACCCAUGAGCUUCUCCUAGGUCAAAUUUUUUUCUCAUAUAUAUAUAUAUAUAUAACACUUUUGACUCCAAGUAACAACACAUCUACAUAAAGAUAGCUAAACAACAGAAACACUUAACCAUCUCAUGAAGUCUUAAGGAAGACGUCUUAAGGUUCAGCGUAAUGUCACAAAGGAUGCAGGCUCUCUCUUCUACUAUCUGAGGAUUGGGGUUUUUCUUAGGCUUGUCACCUCAUGGAUGCAAGAUGGUUGCCACAGCUCCAAGCAUUACAUCCUCAUAUAAAUGCAUCCAAGAACAGAAUGAGAAGAGAAAGGAGAGUUCUUCUUGUGCAUGUUUCUUUUUAGCAGGGAGGAAAAUCUUUCCUAGAUGCUCUUCAGCAGACUCCUUUUAUAUCUCAUUGGUUAGGACUGGGUCACAUGACCUCCCCCAGUCGCAGUGGAGGCUGGGAAUAUCUAUAGUGGAAGGUCAGCUCUUCCAAUGAGAUACAAAGGGAAAAGGAAGAUGGACUACUCUAUUGAGAGACAACUAACAGUUUAUGCCAUAACCUCUGUUAUAUAAGGUGUUGGUCAUCAUUAGCCACCCACCACCCACCAUUAGACAAGUGGCACCUCUCUCAGAGGAGGUCCCUACACAGCUACUGAGGUGAUGGCACUGGGGCAAGGAGACAUUCCACACUUGUUGGAGAAUCUGCUCAAGAGCCAACUCCUGGCUACCCCUUCACCCCAAGACAAAGGGGCUCUCCUUGCCCCCAAUCAUACUGGAACACUGACGGCUCUUCUACACUUUGGGCACUGCCAUCAGAAUGAUCACUAAAGAAGGCCAUUGAAAGUGUGAACACAAAAUUGAAGGCUUUCCCUAAAGUUUUUCCAGUCACCAGCCUAGGAAGACUAUCCCAAGAAAUAAUAUGGAUUGGAAAUAGAACUUGAUUCUGAGAAUGCUGGUAGGUGGGAUUUACUUAAGGAGUAAAUAAGGCACGACUAGUUGUUGUUUUUCUAUUUAGGACCCACUGUUCUUAGAGCCAAACAGCAGGAGCACUGCUUCGAUAAGUACAAAUAGGUUUGAAUAACGUCAUCAUGUAUAUCUAGUUUUGUUUCCUUUUCUACGAAAAGGAAAUAGUCCAAACACUUGCAGUAAAAUUAAGAUUGGAUAAUUAAGCACACUAAAUAAGAAUGCACUAGAUAAGUGAAGACAGAAUACCAAAUAGGACAUUAAAAAAAUAAUCACAACUAUCCUACACUACACACAGUGUAAUGUAUUAUAAAAAGAACAGUUAUGUGGGAUUAUGAAUCAUUAAAGCUGUUCUCUUUUGUGGAAAACAGAAAUGACAGCUAACUAAAUUAACCUGGCUUUAAAAAUAUUGGUGCAAGAUUUGGAGUGUCUCAUUCACUCCCUCACACUAACACUCUUCCAGGCCUGUCAUCAUGAGUCCGGCACUGCAGCAGACAUGUCAACAGGCAACUUAGCUCCAAGGGAGGAUGCACGGUGAGCUGUUUGGAAUUGGAGAAAGCAGCAAAGAAGGGACAGUUAACUCUCCGUGUGUAAAUGUAUGUCAUGUGUUUACCUCAGAAAUUUCUCUUAUUAAACACAGUGUAUGUGAUUAAUAAAAUUUAUUAUAUAUAUAUAUAUUUAGAUAAAUAUAGCUGUAACAUUGCACAACAAAGAUGUAUUGUAUGCCUACUCUAGACACACUUCAGAAAAUUUACUUUCUAAAUUCUUUCUUCUUUGUAUGACUUCUUGAUCCUUUAUUGAAAAAUCGGAAACACUCAUGAUGCUAAAUGUUUCUCUUUGAUAUUUUGCAACAGAAAUCUAGGCUAAAAGAAAUUCCUGACAGGUCAUUUAGUUGCUGGCUACUUCCCUUAUUAAGUUACAAAGGAAUGAUCCACUUUAGAACCCAGAGGAAGCUUCUGGAACCUUACUGGGAGAGACAGGUUGAUGGUGCUGAUGAGCAGGCCCAAGGAGCAGACUACAUUCCUAUAUUACACCCAGAACUUCUUUUGGCUGUGCUUUUCAAAGUGGCACUUAUUAAGAAAAAUGGCAGGCAUAUAUCUGUGGUGCUUGCUUUUUUUUUUCUUCAGUGUUUAAUUAUUCAAGAUAAUACAUACAGCAAAUACAUAAAAGAAAAAAAUCCAGUCUUGUUUAGCAGCCUUACAAAGUCAGGAAGAAAUUGGAUUAGAAAAAGGGGUAGCUUCAAAACCAUCUCUUAUGCUGGAUGUAGUAUUUUUAUUGGAAUAGAUCAGCAGUUGGCUUUAAAAAAAAAAGGAAUUAGGUGAGGGUUUUUUCGAAUUUUUUGGGUGCAAGCCACAGCUUUUAAAAAAUACAUUCCACAUCACAAAGUUGAACAACACAAUAUUUACCCUUACAACUUGUGAAGCACAUAAAAGUUUUAAAUUUUAUUCUAUUCUGUUCUGCUCUAUUGUCUAUUUUCCUUCCUUCCUUUUUUUUUUU